rnacentral:tRNA from 1 species
AGAGAUGUAGCUUAGAUGGUAAAGUGCUCACUUUGCAAGGGAGAGGUACGGCGAUCGAUACUCCGCAUUUCCA